UCAACUAUCUGAGGUUAUAUUCAUUGCUUUAAAUCCUUAUUCAUAUAUUUGUUCAAGCAUUUACUUAUCAUAUAUGUCCAGUUAUCUGGUCAUUUACUUACUUAUCAAUAUAUCCAGUUAUCUGGUCAUUUACUUGCUUAUCAAUAUAUCCAGUUAUCUGGUCAUUUACUCUACAAUACAAUUUGUGUUUACAAUAUAACUUAGUACUCAUAUACUAUAGUUGUUUGUAAAACACUAUCAAGCAAGUUGACUCAGUAUUCAUAUACUGUGGUAAGCUUCGAAGAGUAAUAAUUACGUUAUUAUAUCAAUCAAAGUUAUACCAUCUCUAUAUUAUUAUUGUUCAACCAUUUGUUUAUUAAGUGUUUACAGGUAAUUCCGCAAUCAACCUGUAUAAAUCGAAAAGAAGCUACUAUCCCCCCUUAUAGCCUCGGAUCACGAUCCAACAGCAACGACACUCCCAAUCUCCUCCUCCAGCUGAGCCUUUAAGUUAUCAAUCUCAACUUUAGAAUUAACCUCAGUUGCAGUCUUGGCCUCAAGCUCUUUGUGGCUAGCCUCAAGCUCUUUACGGAGCUUCACUAUUUUUCGAUCUUUUUCGGAAAUCUCCUUAUCCUUCAAGCUUGCCCUUUUUUCAUUUUUGGCAUAAUGUUGUUGUGGAGAUUAUCCAAUUCUAGGCCCCUUUGUCGUAAUGGUUGCACCUCAAGCCUCAGAGGUCUGUACUUGUCUAGGAGCUUGUUAUACUUCUCUUGCGCUUGAAGAGCAUCAUUCUGAGUCUGCAUUCCGAGGCAAGCAUUUGCGACAUAGACACCCUGCAAAAACAAAUAAACAUUAGAAUAAUAUUAAAUAAAAAAAACGCGAGAAUAGGAAUUCCGCCUGCUAAGAGUGCUAUCCGCGACUUUUGGCAAAAAAAUCCCAAAGUUUAAAAUCUCCGAUUUCACCUAGGAAAUCGCCGAUUUGUGCUUAGUUUUUUGUGCGAGGUCGGUCAAGUCUUCGCUACGCUUUCGGAAAACUUGCUUGUGCUUUUCUAUGGCUCCCAAGAAUUCACGAGCUUCAUCCUCCGCUACCGCUCAAGAGCAAGCGAUGGGAAGUAAGAAAACUGGGGAAAACUUGCCGCCAGUAUCUGAAGAGGAUCGUACUCACCCUAGUGAGUCUCCUCAAGUCAACAUACCCUCUCAACAAAAUGAGGGGGACAUUGUACCAACUCCUCCCAAUGAACCUCAACCUCCCCCACCUUAGAGGAAAGGAUGAAUACUUUCAUGGAAGAAAUGGGGAAAAGGAUGAGCAACCUCGAGGCCGCGAGGAGUCGAAGGACUACCACCCGAGAUGUGACGGGUGAUUCUGAGUCACACUAAUCCCCAUCUGUGGAGAAAACCAAGUUUAGUUCACAUCACAGGUCAGAAUCGAGACCUACCAAGAGUCGCACACAUGCGACCUUGUCAACUCGAUUCGUGGAUGAACUUCGUCGAAAGCUGG
rnacentral:lncRNA from 1 species